CCCAAUAGUAAAAAAUAGACACAUGGCACCCUAGGGUUGGGUGGACCCCACCCUAAUUUUUGAGACACUUGAUCCUAGGAGAAAAGAAGCCAACAACCGCCACUUGCUUUGGAUUUACUUUUUCUCUCGGCAAUUGAAUAUUUGGAGCACCUUGCUGCAAUGUUGGGAGGUAGACUUGGCUGGAACAUUUUCCACCAGCUGCCACCCUCAACAAAAUUGCACUUGCUUUGAACGUUUCUUUCGCAUGGAACUUUUCUUGGAAUUGUUUGAUUUUGGAUGAAGGAGCAUGUAGCUUCCAGC
rnacentral:lncRNA from 1 species